UCCGGGAAAUUCAUCAGCGGUUGAAGCCUGCCGGCUUUGUGGACUUUUCCUGAUUUGACCACAAAACCACUUUUUAGGUUUCUAAUCUUUCACAGGAGCCCACUCUCCAAGAACUCGAUUUAUCUAAACAACAUGGUGGUGGAAGGUAGUCAAGUUUUUUCAUAUGAAGGAAUUGGAGUGGUGACAAUGAAAUUCUGAGCUAAAAGCUGGUCAUGUUGGUUAAUUUUGUGUGCUCGUGUUGACUUUUCUGAUACUUAUUGCUAUCGAUAAAAUUACGAUACCCCGUAAGGUACUGUGAGUGAAAUUUACGCCGUAACCACUGCAACGGAUGAGAUAUCCAGAUCUGGAUAUUUGGUAACGUUUUUAUUUUUUUAUUAUUUUAUUUUGUCUUUCUUUUAUAAAAUAAAAAUAUAUUUGUAUUUAUCUAUUUUUAAACUAUUAAAAAAUAAAAAUAUGUUUAUGUUCAUUUUUUUUUAAUUAUUUUAAAAAAAAGUGAAGGUAGAGGUGGAGGUGGAUGAGGAGGUGGUAGCGGUGGAUGAGGAGGUGGAGGUUGAAAAAAUUUGGAUGAAAAAAACAAAAAUAAUUUUUUUUUAUUUUUACUAUUUUCAAAAAUAGUCAAAAUAAUUUUACCGAAUUUUUAUUUAUUUUUUGCAACACAAACAAGUUUUUUAUUUUCAUUAAUAAAUUAAAUAAAAUAAAAAUAAAAUAACAAAAAUUAAACAGUUAAUAAAUAUCACCUAUAUUUGAUCGCAACUUGUCCGUGGUGGCGUGGGUGAGACGCGACUUGUGAAGACCACACUACGAAUUUGAUAAUUUAUUUUCGUACAAUUGAAUAUGCAUCAUCAUCACAGCAUGUACCACUGGGACUGUGGAUUUGAAAACCAGCUUGAGACUUGCAGUGUGAUAUCCUAUAUCCACAGUGGAGCAUUUGAAAAAUCCAAAUUUAAAUAUAUACUUUUUUAGAUGACAAAUAUUUCCCAUAAACUGACUUUUCAAGGUUACGAGACCAAACGAUUGGUUACUUGUCAUAACUUACAGCAGAAUGUACACAGUUUUACUGUAAAAUAGCAGACAAAGCAAUAGCAUGCCCUUUCAAACAUAUGUCAGUGGAGCGUCCAUGAAGUAAAAAACACGGGAAAAAAAUAUACGAGGCGGCAUAAUAUCUCCAAGAAACUAUAACAUGCAAUUCCAAUAUUAUGAACAGCAAU
rnacentral:lncRNA from 1 species